rnacentral:misc_RNA from 1 species
AAGUCGUAACAAGGUUUCCGUAGGUGAACCUGCGGAAGGAUCAUUAUCGAGUUUUGAACGGGUUGUAGCUGGCCUCAAUACGGGGCAUGUGCACGCCUGGCUCAUCCACUCCUUAACCUCUGUGCACUUUUUGUAGGCUCUGGUUGAAAGGCGUUGCUUCACUUCGGUGUUGUAAUCGCUGGAAGACCUGGUCUAUGUUUAUUACAAACGCUUCAGUUAUAGAAUGUUUAUCUGCGUAUAACGCAUUUAUAUACAACUUUCAGCAACGGAUCUCUUGGCUCUC